GACGAACGCUGGCGGCGUGCCUAACACAUGCAAGUCGAGCGAGGUCCAACCAGUGGCAACACUGGGGACGACCUAGCGGCGAACGGGUGAGUAACACGUGAGGAACCUGCCCCGAAGACCGGGAUAACCCGAGGAAACUCGAGCUAAUACCGGAUACCCCCACGAGAUCGCAUGAUCUUGUGAGGAAAUGUCUUUUCGCUUCGGGAGGGCCUCGCGGCCUAUCAGCUAGUUGGCGGGGUAACGGCCCACCAAGGCAUCGACGGGUAGCUGGUCUGAGAGGACGAUCAGCCACACUGGGACUGAGACACGGCCCAGACUCCUACGGGAGGCAGCAGUGGGGAAUCUUGCGCAAUGGGCGAAAGCCUGACGCAGCAACGCCGCGUGGGGACGAAGGCUCUCGGGUGUAAACCCCUUUCAGGAGGGACGAAAUUGACGGUACCU
rnacentral:rRNA from 1 species